UACGUAGGGUGCGAGCGUUAAUCGGAAUUACUGGGCGUAAAGCGUGCGCAGGCGGUUUUGUAAGCCAGAUGUGAAAUCCCCGGGCUUAACCUGGGAAUGGCAUUUGGGACUGCAAGGCUUGGAGUGCGGCAGAGGAGACUGGAAUUCCUGGUGUAGCAGUGAAAUGCGUAGAUAUCAGGAGGAACACCGAUGGCGAAGGCAGGUCUCUGGGCUGACACUGACGCUCAUGCACGAAAGCGUGGGGAGCA
rnacentral:rRNA from 1 species